rnacentral:rRNA from 1 species
GGGUUGUGAGGUUAAGCGACUAAGCGUACACGGUGGAUGCCCUGGCAGUCAGAGGCGAUGAAGGACGUGCUAAUCUGCGAUAAGCGUCGGUAAGGUGAUAUGAACCGUUAUAACCGGCGAUUUCCGAAUGGGGAAACCCAGUGUGAUUCGUCACACUAUCAUUAACUGAAUCCAUAGGUUAAUGAGGCGAACCGGGGGAACUGAAACAUCUAAGUACCCCGAGGAAAAGAAAUCAACCGAGAUUCCCCCAGUAGCGGCGAGCGAACGGGGAGCAGCCCAGAGCCUGAAUCAGUGUGUGUGUUAGUGGAAGCGUCUGGAAAGGCGCGCGAUACAGGGUGACAGCCCCGUACACAAAAAUGCACAUGCUGUGAGCUCGAUGAGUAGGGCGGGACACGUGGUAUCCUGUCUGAAUAUGGGGGACCAUCCUCCAAGGCUAAAUACUCCUGACUGACCGAUAGUGAACCAGUACCGUGAGGGAAAGGCGAAAAGAACCCCGGCGAGGGGAGUGAAAAAGAACCUGAAACCGUGUACGUACAAGCAGUGGGAGCACGCUUAGGCGUGUGACUGCGUACCUUUUGUAUAAUGGGUCAGCGACUUAUAUUCUGUAGCAAGGUUAACCGAAUAGGGGAGCCGAAGGGAAACCGAGUCUUAACUGGGCGUUAAGUUGCAGGGUAUAGACCCGAAACCCGGUGAUCUAGCCAUGGGCAGGUUGAAGGUUGGGUAACACUAACUGGAGGACCGAACCGACUAAUGUUGAAAAAUUAGCGGAUGACUUGUGGCUGGGGGUGAAAGGCCAAUCAAACCGGGAGAUAGCUGGUUCUCCCCGAAAGCUAUUUAGGUAGCGCCUCGUGAAUUCAUCUCCGGGGGUAGAGCACUGUUUCGGCAAGGGGGUCAUCCCGACUUACCAACCCGAUGCAAACUGCGAAUACCGGAGAAUGUUAUCACGGGAGACACACGGCGGGUGCUAACGUCCGUCGUGAAGAGGGAAACAACCCAGACCGCCAGCUAAGGUCCCAAAGUCAUGGUUAAGUGGGAAACGAUGUGGGAAGGCCCAGACAGCCAGGAUGUUGGCUUAGAAGCAGCCAUCAUUUAAAGAAAGCGUAAUAGCUCACUGGUCGAGUCGGCCUGCGCGGAAGAUGUAACGGGGCUAAACCAUGCACCGAAGCUGCGGCAGCGACACUAUGUGUUGUUGGGUAGGGGAGCGUUCUGUAAGCCUGUGAAGGUGUGCUGUGAGGUAUGCUGGAGGUAUCAGAAGUGCGAAUGCUGACAUAAGUAACGAUAAAGCGGGUGAAAAGCCCGCUCGCCGGAAGACCAAGGGUUCCUGUCCAACGUUAAUCGGGGCAGGGUGAGUCGACCCCUAAGGCGAGGCCGAAAGGCGUAGUCGAUGGGAAACAGGUUAAUAUUCCUGUACUUGGUGUUACUGCGAAGGGGGGACGGAGAAGGCUAUGUUGGCCGGGCGACGGUUGUCCCGGUUUAAGCGUGUAGGCUGGUUUUCCAGGCAAAUCCGGAAAAUCAAGGCUGAGGCGUGAUGACGAGGCACUACGGUGCUGAAGCAACAAAUGCCCUGCUUCCAGGAAAAGCCUCUAAGCAUCAGGUAACAUCAAAUCGUACCCCAAACCGACACAGGUGGUCAGGUAGAGAAUACCAAGGCGCUUGAGAGAACUCGGGUGAAGGAACUAGGCAAAAUGGUGCCGUAACUUCGGGAGAAGGCACGCUGAUAUGUAGGUGAAGUCCCUCGCGGAUGGAGCUGAAAUCAGUCGAAGAUACCAGCUGGCUGCAACUGUUUAUUAAAAACACAGCACUGUGCAAACACGAAAGUGGACGUAUACGGUGUGACGCCUGCCCGGUGCCGGAAGGUUAAUUGAUGGGGUCAGCGCAAGCGAAGCUCUUGAUCGAAGCCCCGGUAAACGGCGGCCGUAACUAUAACGGUCCUAAGGUAGCGAAAUUCCUUGUCGGGUAAGUUCCGACCUGCACGAAUGGCGUAAUGAUGGCCAGGCUGUCUCCACCCGAGACUCAGUGAAAUUGAACUCGCUGUGAAGAUGCAGUGUACCCGCGGCAAGACGGAAAGACCCCGUGAACCUUUACUAUAGCUUGACACUGAACAUUGAGCCUUGAUGUGUAGGAUAGGUGGGAGGCUUUGAAGUGUGGACGCCAGUCUGCAUGGAGCCGACCUUGAAAUACCACCCUUUAAUGUUUGAUGUUCUAACGUUGACCCGUAAUCCGGGUUGCGGACAGUGUCUGGUGGGUAGUUUGACUGGGGCGGUCUCCUCCUAAAGAGUAACGGAGGAGCACGAAGGUUGGCUAAUCCUGGUCGGACAUCAGGAGGUUAGUGCAAUGGCAUAAGCCAGCUUGACUGCGAGCGUGACGGCGCGAGCAGGUGCGAAAGCAGGUCAUAGUGAUCCGGUGGUUCUGAAUGGAAGGGCCAUCGCUCAACGGAUAAAAGGUACUCCGGGGAUAACAGGCUGAUACCGCCCAAGAGUUCAUAUCGACGGCGGUGUUUGGCACCUCGAUGUCGGCUCAUCACAUCCUGGGGCUGAAGUAGGUCCCAAGGGUAUGGCUGUUCGCCAUUUAAAGUGGUACGCGAGCUGGGUUUAGAACGUCGUGAGACAGUUCGGUCCCUAUCUGCCGUGGGCGCUGGAGAACUGAGGGGGGCUGCUCCUAGUACGAGAGGACCGGAGUGGACGCAUCACUGGUGUUCGGGUUGUCAUGCCAAUGGCACUGCCCGGUAGCUAAAUGCGGAAGAGAUAAGUGCUGAAAGCAUCUAAGCACGAAACUUGCCCCGAGAUGAGUUCUCCCUGACUCCUUGAGAGUCCUGAAGGAACGUUGAAGACGACGACGUUGAUAGGCCGGGUGUGUAAGCGCAGCGAUGCGUUGAGCUAACCGGUACUAAUGAACCGUGAGGCUUAACCUUACAACGCCGAAGGUGUUU